rnacentral:rRNA from 1 species
UACAGAGGUCUCAAGCGUUGUUCGGAUUCAUUGGGCGUAAAGGGUGCGUAGGUGGCGUCGUAAGUGGGGUGUGAAAUCCCGGGGCUUAACCCCGGGACUGCAUUCCAUACUGCGGUGCUUGAGGACUGGAGAGGAGACUGGAAUUUACGGUGUAGCAGUGAAAUGCGUAGAGAUCGUAAGGAAGACCAGUGGCGAAGGCGGGUCUCUGGACAGUUCCUGACGCUGAGGCACGAAGGUCAGGGGAGCAAACGGG